rnacentral:rRNA from 1 species
CCUACGGGUGGCAGCAGUGAGGAAUAUUGCACAAUGGGCGAAAGCCUGAUGCAGCAACGCCGCGUGAAGGAAGACGGUUUUCGGAUUGGAAACUUCUAUCAAUAGGGAAGAAAGAAAUGACGGUACCUAAAUAAGAAGCCCCGGCUAACUACGUGCCAGCAGCCGCGGGCAGCCGUAGGUGGCAAGCGUUAUCCGGAAUUACUGGGUGUAAAGGGAGAGUAGGCGGCAAGGUAAGGGAUAUGUGAAAGCCUUAAGCUUAACUUAAGGAUUGCAUAACGAACUAUCUAGCUAGAGUACAGGAGAGGAAAGCGGAAUUCCUAGUGUAGCGGUGAGAUGCGUAGAUAUUAGGAAGAACACCAGUGGCGAAGGCGGCUUUCUGGACUGAAACUGACGCUGAGGCUCGAAAGCGUGGGGAGCGAACAGGAUUAGAUACCCUAGUAGUC